UACGUAGGUGGCAAGCGUUGUUCGGAAUUAUUGGGCGUAAAGGGCGCGUAGGCGGUCUUGUAAGUCAGCUGUGAAAGCCCGGGGCUCAACCCCGGAGGGUCGGCUGAUACUGCAGGACUGGAGUACGGAAGAGGUAGCUGGAAUUCCCGGUGUAGCGGUGAAAUGCGCAGAUAUCGGGAAGAACACCUAUGGCGAAGGCAGCUCUCUGGGACGGUACUGACGCUGAGACGCGAAAGCGUGGGGAGCGAACAGG
rnacentral:rRNA from 1 species